AGCGAACGCUGGCGGCAGGCCUAAUACAUGCAAGUCGAACGCACCUUCGGGUGAGUGGCGGACGGGUGAGUAACGCGUGGGAACGUGCCCUUUGGUUCGGAACAACACAGGGAAACUUGUGCUAAUACCGAAUGUGCCCUUCGGGGGAAAGAUUUAUCGCCAUUGGAGCGGCCCGCGUUGGAUUAGCUAGUUGGUAGGGUAAAAGCCUACCAAGGCUACGAUCCAUAGCUGGUCUGAGAGGAUGAUCAGCCACACUGGGACUGAGACACG
rnacentral:rRNA from 1 species